rnacentral:rRNA from 1 species
UAGGGAAUCUUCAGCAAUGGACGGAAGUCUGACCGAGCAACGCCGCGUGAGUGAAGAAGGUUUUCGGAUCGUAAAGCUCUGUUGUAAGAGAAGAACGAGUGUGAGAGUGGAAAGUUCACACUGUGACGGUAUCUUACCAGAAAGGGACGGCUAACUACGUGCCAGCAGCCGCGGUAAUACGUAGGUCCCGAGCGUUGUCCGGAUUUAUUGGGCGUAAAGCGAGCGCAGGCGGUUAGAUAAGUCUGAAGUUAAAGGCUGUGGCUUAACCAUAGUACGCUUUGGAAACUGUUUAACUUGAGUGCAAGAGGGGAGAGUGGAAUUCCAUGUGUAGCGGUGAAAUGCGUAGAUAUAUGGAGGAACACCGGUGGCGAAAGCGGCUCUCUGGCUUGUAACUGACGCUGAGGCUCGAAAGCGUGGGGAGCAAACAGGAUUAGAUACCCUGGUAGUCCACGCCGUAAACGAUGAGUGCUAGGUGUUAGACCCUUUCCGGGGUUUAGUGCCGUAGCUAACGCAUUAAGCACUCCGCCUGGGGAGUACGACCGCAAGGUUG